rnacentral:miRNA from 2 species
AUAAGUGGGUUUGUGGGCUGGCCC